GGUGUUGUUAGCGGAAGCAGCCUGGCGGGGGCACCGGGUGGCUGGCGGCACGAUGGCCGCCAAAGCUGCUGUGCUGGGCGCGCCGUCCCUGGAGCCCUUUGAUUUUGGUAGUACUGCUGCUAUUAUUAAACUACUACCUAAGGAUCUAUUUGCUGAGCUAUGUGAGCGAAUUAUGCAGCAUCUUCGCUGUCUGAUCCCAGGUGUAAAUACAGUAGAACUAUGCCAGAGAUUUCAAACGGCUGGAGUUGAAAUGAAUGUUGCUGACCUAGCAAAGAUAAUUAAUGUUGUUUCCUUUUUAUUCAGCACAGCAGCCAAAAACAACCUCUCUGCAGAAGAACUCUCCACUGGUCUGGGUAAUGUAAUCAGUAUGCUGCCAAAACAUGCAGUUCAGGUUAUUUGCCAUAUAUGGAAUGAACAGGGUAAAUCUAUCAUGUCAGAAGAUGCUAGAAAUAUGGCAACAGUGGGACAGAUUAUAGAUAUUCAAUGGAAACUGGGAAUGGCAGUGAGCUCUGACAGCUGCAGGUCUCUUAAGUAUCCUUACGUUACAAUGACACUAAAAGUGGCAGAGCUGUCGGGCCAGAUAAUGAGCAGGUCUUUUGAAAUGACAAUCCCACAGUUCCAGGACUUCUUCAGACAUUUCAAGGAAAUGGCAGCUGUUCUUGAAACAGUUUGAGCAUAACUGUUUAUAUACUUCAAAGACACUUUACUUGAUCCAAAUAAGCCUUCCUAUCUUGCACAAGUAAUUAAGUGUCAAUGUUUAAGUAAGAUCCUGGGGUAUAUGGCUUUCUUUCCAACAGGUUCAGAGACGGGCAUAGAUGUGACUUGCAAGCUUCCUACCUCUGGAGCUCCUAAUGGCAGCAGGGGAUCUGAUUGUAGCCUUCUCUACACUUUCAGGAGUUGGUAUUUGGUCCAGCUUCUGCAGUGUUGGAAGCUGGUGAUGACUGCUUUGGUGAACGCGUCAUUGAAGUACCAGGCCUACACUGGGGAAUGGCAGUUAAGGGCAAGUCUACACUCCAGUCUAAAUCAAUAUAACUUACAUUGCUCAGGGGUGUGAACCCCUUCCCUCCUCCCCCCAUGAGCAACAAGUUUUGCACUGUCCACACCAGCGCUAUGUCAGCGGGAGAUGCUCUCCUGUCAGCACACCACAUCUUCACCAGAUGUGCUACAUCAGUGCAGCUGAGCCAAUGUAGCAGUGUACGUGCAGACUUUCUCUAAGGCAGUGUCACAGAUAAUGACAUUCUUUGAGUAGAGUUCUUUGUAAUGCUCAAUCCAUCGGUCAGGUUAGUUUUGCCUGUCAGUGAAUAUGGUAUCAUCUUUCGCUUUCAGGUUUGCGGUCUUUUUACAAGAUGGACCAAGUACUUCUUUAAUUCCACUAUAGGUACCACAAAAGUCCCCUCUUUCAAAAAGAUCUGAAUCUUUCUGCACAGGUCUUGCCAAUACUUCUGGGCACUUUCUUUGGUGGCUUUCUGAACCUCAGCCUUACCCUCUUUAAACUUGAGAGUUCUGGUCUUAGGUGGCUGUUUAAAGUAAAGUUAGGUGAGGAUUCUUUUUUCCCCCUAUAAGUGGGAGCAGCAGAUGUUCAGAUGCUGCAAACCAAUCAAGAUGUUUUUUCUCUGUUGUUCCAAAGACAUCCUUGGUAGUAGCCAGUAUCAUCAUCAUCUUAAAAUUUUCCCACAAGGUGUCAAAAUCAGGGGAAUCAGGUUGAUCAUUUUAAAAAACCAGCUCAUGCACACAUUGAAACUUUGCACAAGUAUCAGAAUCCUUCAUAUUAGUGAUGCUGAGGCAAGGUUUACCUUUUUGCUUUGCAUAACAGAUCUCUUUAAGAUGCAAUUGGAGCUUUGCCCUCAAAAGGGCAUGCUCAGUGUCACAAUCAGCACUAGGCAGUGAUUGAACAUGCAAUACGUUGAUCUCAGGAUGAGAUCAAGCUGACGCCCAUUUGCUGAGUGAGGGUGCCUCCAUAUGACCUUUCUGCGGCUGCUGUCACCUGCCAGCAAAAUAGGUGUUUGGGACUAUCUGCUCACAAGAUGCACAAAGCUUAAGAACAGCUGGCCAUUUCUGUUGAGGCUACCUGUGCUGUAUUGACCAAUGAUGUGUCCCCAGUGCUCCCAGUCCUUACCCACACAGACGAGUCUGUCCCUAGGAAAAAAAAAUAUUAUUUGUUCCAGCUGAGAAUAAAACUCAUUUUUUUGCUAUUUGGAAUAAUCAAGUGUUGGGCCAUAAAUGGACAGAAGAGUCAGUCACACAGAGUUUGUGUUUGUAUCCAGCUGCAUGAUCCUCUCAUUGAUAGGUACUGGAGGGGUACAUACUCUGAGGACAGACUUCUUGACAGCAUAUCCAACAUCAUGUAUCAUUGGUUCAUUGUCAAAUUUCCCAGAUGAGUAGAACUGAUAAUUUUUCAGAUCCAAUUUCUGAAAGCCUCGUCUCAUGGAGGGCUACACUAUCAAUGUACAAUUGAUGUAGUUCUCUAUCAGUUAGAAUCUUCCAGUUCAAGUCUGGUUAACAUAGUAUGAACAUUUCAGCAAGCACUGAUUAGUUUAGUUUAGAGCCUGGAAAGAAAGUGGAAGGUAGUUUUUUUUAACCCACUAUUCCUAGUGCCUUCCCCAAAUUGGGGCAAGCAGGCCACCCCUAAAAAAGGCUGCUUGGAGAUCUGAGCCGCUGCUGAACACCUGGGUCCUUCUCCACCAGAACGAGCAACCGUUGAGCACCACCAGCUUAGGUUAAAACUUCCCCAAGGCACUAAUUCCUUUCCUUGUCCUUGGACGGUAUUGCUGCCACCACCAAGUGAAUUAAACAAACAUUUUGGGAGGGCCACUUGGAGCCCUAUCCCCACAAAAUAUCCCCCGAAGCCCCUUCACCCCAUUUCCGGGGGAGGCUUCAGAAUAAUAUACUAACCAACUGGUUACAAUGUGAGUGCAGACCAAAUCCCUGGAUUUUUAGUACACUGAACAUUAAUCAGGUUCUUAAAAGAAGAAUUUUAUUUAUUUUUU